rnacentral:misc_RNA from 1 species
GAUGAAGAACGUAGCGAAAUGCGAUACGUAAUGUGAAUUGCAGAAUUCAGUGAAUCAUCGAAUCUUUGAACGCAUAUUGCGCUCUCUGGUAUUCCGGAGAGCAUGCUUGUUUGAGUAUCAGUAAACACCUCAACUUCCAUAUCUUUUUUGAAAUGGGAGUUGGACUUGAGUGAUCCCAACGCUUUUCCUCACCGAAAAGUGGCGGGUUACUUGAAAUGCAGGUGCAGCUGGACUUUUCUCUGAGCUAUAAGCAUAUCUAUUUAGUCUGCCUAAAAAACAGAUUAUUACCUAUGCUGCAGCUAACAUAAAGGAGAUUAGUUCUUGUGCUGACUGAUGCAGGAUUCACAAAGACAGCUUCGGCCGACUUUGUAAACUCGAUCUCAAAUCAAGUAAGACUACCCGCUGAACUUAAGCAUAUCAAUAAGCGGAGGA